rnacentral:lncRNA from 1 species
AUUUCCCUCUCUUUCAUUUUGGAUAUUGAACUAGGCUCCAGAAAGGCAGAAGCCUGUUGGAAAUUCCUAACCAGCAGAGGCCAGGUGGCUGUAAUUAACAUCACAACAUCAAGACCAGAGAGAUGUUAAACACAUGGAUUUCAGAUGUGAAUUUGCCUUUGACAUACAAUAAUCUUCAGACAUUAGGAUUAGAACAAAAACUUUGCUAUGUUUCCAUUUCAUAAAGUUCACACACCUAAUUCCCAUUUUUCUGAAACCAGUGGUGGUUAUUAAUGACUAUGAGUACAGCAACAAGUCCCUUAGAGAGGAUGGAAAUAUUAUACCCAGGAAUUCAGUGAUGUGAUGAAAUGAACACAAACAUGUUGCUUUUCUUUGAAUUUUAAAAUGAAGUUUAAAAAAACCAAUCUGCAACCUUGGUCCAGAACCCUCUUUCAAGGCCAAGAACAAUCUAAAGACUCUGGGAAAAGGGUGUACAAGGAUGGAUUCAUGGCAUGGAUUUCAGCAGGCUUGUCUGGGGCCUGACAUGCUGCCUCACCUUCUCUCCAGGUGUGUUUUUCAAACACUAAUAUCCAUCAGCAACACCCACAUCAGCUAGAGGUAAUACCCAUAACAGGUCCAAUGUAGAUCCUGAAAACCUUACUUGGCUGAGAACAUUUGGAGAAACCCAGUGUUUUUCAUCCCACACUGGUCAUCGUCCCUGGAGGAAAACUGACAUCAAGAGAGAGGUCAUGGGGAAGAGGUGUGACUUUUGCCACCAACACAUUCUUCUCCAAAGCUCUGCAAAACUACUCACUUGGGGAAAUCUCAAUAACCCGGUGACCAUUCUGGAGACAAACAAAUUCUACAAAUGUGUUGCUAAGGAAUUGGAUUGGCAGAAUACAAAUUCAUGAAGUAGGUAAACAGAGCUGAAAAUGUUUUCCAGUUAAGACACCAGAUCAACAGUUGUACCAGUUGGAUAUUUUACUUAUUCCUAGUAGCUAGCUCCCAAUAUUUGAAUAAGAUGAACAAGAUUAAUUUUUGUCUUCUUUG